GGAAAGGCGCGCGAUACAGGGUGACAGCCCCGUACACAAAAAUGCACAUGCUGUGAGCUCGAUGAGUAGGGCGGGACACGUGGUAUCCUGUCUGAAUAUGGGGGGACCAUCCUCCAAGGCUAAAUACUCCUGACUGACCGAUAGUGAACCAGUACCGUGAGGGAAAGGCGAAAAGAACCCCGGCGAGGGGAGUGAAAAAGAACCUGAAACCGUGUACGUACAAGCAGUGGGAGCACAGAGCAAUCUGUGUGACUGCGUACCUUUUGUAUAAUGGGUCAGCGACUUAUAUUCUGUAGCAAGGUUAACCGAAUAGGGGAGCCGAAGGGAAACCGAGUCUUAACUGGGCGUUAAGUUGCAGGGUAUAGACCCGAAACCCGGUGAUCUAGCCAUGGGCAGGUUGAAGGUUGGGUAACACUAACUGGAGGACCGAACCGACUAAUGUUGAAAAAUUAGCGGAUGACUUGUGGCUGGGGGUGAAAGGCCAAUCAAACCGGGAGAUAGCUGGUUCUCCCCGAAAGCUAUUUAGGUAGCGCCU
rnacentral:rRNA from 1 species